AUGGCCACACAAAGUAAUGAAAGUCGUAAGAAAAUAAAACCUGAAUUGCACACACACAUCGAAACACACAUCCACACCCUGCCAUUGUUUGUUGUUUCAAACAUAUUAAAUUGUUUUUGUAUUAUUUUAUUUACAGUUGCUGAUAUGACAGAUGUCAUUCAUUCUGAAUGCGAGAAAAAGUCUCAAAGUCGUUUCUUUCGACGUCUCCAGAAUCUGAAAAGGCAUCAUCAUAUGUGUGAACAACGGCAUGAGAAGGCACAAACCGAGAGGUUAGAUGACCAGAGAAAGAAGACCUUGAGCCUGAGCCAAAAGAAUGAACAGCAAUCGUCCAGUGACAGUGAGGGGACACUUAUUCUGGAACACACUCCAGCUGACGUUGAAAAAGACCCAAAUGUACCUGAGCUCAGAAGAACUGACAGUGUAAUUCUUGCCAGACAAAUGCAUGGCUAUGCAUCAGACCAAUCUAUAUCAAGUUGUCAAAGCAGCGGGGAUGAAUAUAUUCCCGAAACUUCUGAAUCAAAAAGUGAAGAAGAAGCAGAAGUUACAGAAAAGGACAGCCAACUUCCCGGAAAUGGAUCACCAACCACCGAAGAAAAGAGAAAAUAG
ensembl:lncRNA